AUCCAACCUAAAUCUUCCCCAUCACUAUUUACACAUGUAAAAAGUUGGUUUCCUUCCUCUUUAUAAUCUCCCUUUAAAUACUGGAAGGCUGUAAUGAGGUCUCCCCACAGCCUUCUCUUUUCCAUGCUGAACAAAGCCAGUUCUUCCAGCCCUCUGAUAAUCUCCGUGGCCUUCCUCUGGACUCUCUCCAAAAGCUCCAAGUCUUUCCCGUGCUGGGAGCCCCAGACCUGGACACAAUACUCCAGCUGGAGCCUCUCAUUCAGGAAGCAUCAAGCUUUUGUACUUAUGUAUGGAGAGUGAAAGAACUGUGCCCUUCUACAGCAGGUUUGCAUCACAGGAAGAACAGAUGUGGACCUACUGAGCACUCCAGUAGCAUCUGCAUGCACACCACGGCCAGGUGGAAUUUUCCAGGACACAGCCCAUCUACGCAGCAUCUUCCGACUUAGCUUGCGUGGACAGAUUGGUUUUCAGCUGAUGGCUGUUGGGUGCAGUGCUUUCUGGAAGGCAGUGGAGAUGCACCGUACCGCUCUCUACUUGCUCAUUAGGAAAGUCCAGGCAGAAAUUUCACAGCCACAAAGUGAGUUCAAAUCUGGCAUCCCACCAUGGUGUAGGUGCUCAUUACCAGGGGUGAAGACAGCUUGGUGUUUUGAUGGGCUACAUCUCUUAGCUGAUUGAUUUGAACCAGCUCAAAGGCUGCAUAAAGCAUUAGGUGAACUCUGGCUUUCGCAUCUCAUUCGGUUACUCCUACAGUGAGCACAGAACCCAUGCCUGGCUGUAAUAUGUCUCUCAAGAAUGCACCCGAAUACUUAAGAAGGCAGAGAAAACCCUACUUUCCUUUGGAAGCGUGUUCCUCUGUUAUUAAUUAGUAUUACUCUUUGGUUGUAAAACUUCACAAAAUUUUCAAUCACCAAUGAUAAAAUUCUGCUGAAACCGGUAACCACUUAAGCAAAUCCGACUUGGCAGGUCAGUGAUCUGUCUGGAAGGAUGUGAUGGUCUCAAGCCACUGUGGUACAUGCCAUCAAGAAAAAAAUUCUCCCCCUUUCCCAUGCAUGGCAAUAACUGGCAGCCUCUUUGGGUGACCUCAGCAGAGAAGACCGAUUGUGUUUGUAGAAUUCACCACCACCUUAAGAUUUCUGGGCAGGUCAAGGUGCCAGGCUGCUGGUAACUUAAUUACCUCAUAACUUCAGGAUUCUGCUUUCCUUUACCAUUCAGUAACUGGACAGGAACUGAAAGAAAUGCACAGCAGUAGACAACAACUAAGGUACAGUUGGAUCAUAGAAGCUGACAGGUAAUGGUGAAGGGAGUACCAGAUACUUUUUGUAAUAUUUCUUUUGAGAAAUAAAUUUACAAGGAGAACUUUCAGGAAUGUGGCUGUGUUCACAAAGAAGACAGCUUGUGCAAAGACCUGCAGAAGUUACACAUUUGUUUAACUUGAAAGGGAACAAGCCAAGGGCUUAAAUUCAGUCACACAAUGCACAUGUCUUGCCAGGCAUCAGGACCUUGCCGAUGGCAUAAGUUAAGCACAUAUACAGCAUUUUACAUGAUCUGUGCUAUGGGGAUCCUAACAACUCAUUUCAAAAUACUGCAUCUAGACAAAGGCCUCAGGUAUCUUGACAUUUUUUUUUUUAAAUGGUCUCUAGUCAAUCAAUUAUUUAAUACUGAUACUGGAGAUGCGCUGCAUCUGGCCCAGUUAGGUACUUUUUCCACUUCCAUUAGGCAUCAAAACUGAUUAUAUAAAGAAAAGAGAAGAAAAAAAAAGAGUUUCAGAAUAGAUAUGCAAGAGAAUUUGUUGGGGGAGUGCAGGAAAGUAGGUUAGUCGACUUCUAUUUGCUGUAUUGUUUCCAGAAACAAUGAAACACAAAGUGUAUGUUUCUCUUGAGAGUUCUCAGACACUAAACAGCUGAAUGGCAAGUCUGGGAGCCACAAAGGUACUUAAGUGCUUAUAGUUUAAGGGAGGUAGUUCACAGAGUACUUCAGGCAUCUGGGAGAGUAUGUCCCUCCUCCUCUCACAAGAAGUUUGUGGCAGAACAGAGACUAGAUAUCAAAUUUCUCCAAUUGUAAGUUGCCUUACGUGUCAGCUUUACUUUCACACUCACUUGGCUAACGGAAAAUGUUCCCGUUUGUAAUGGGCUUUGUUAAAGCUCUGAAGUGGUCACUCUGAGUGGGAAUAACUGCAGUGGAGAGGAACAGGACACAACCGUGUUUCUGAGGAUGUCCAGUCGUGGGUACUUGUCACUGUCAAAAUAAAAUAAAUGAAUGCUAU
ensembl:lncRNA